AUUGGGUGCUAGUACUAUAAAUAUCAGUGCAAGUGUUAUAAUUCUACUAUGUCUUUAAAUGCUUGCUAAUGACAUUCUGUGUAAGGAACUUAUUACUUGAAUACUAGCAGGAACUAUGUGGCUUUGAUAAUGACAUAUUUCAACUUCUUCCAUUUGACUGAUGAGACAAAACGUCUGAUUAUUAUAGCAUGAGUAUGUGAAUUUGAGAUUAUUUUAAAUUUGUUUUUCCUAUUAUUCUGUGUUCUCCAGCUCAAUCUGAUGCAGAUGAAUUUGGUCAAAGCACCAAAUCUGAAAAGAUAAAAUCAGAUGUAGAGCUAAACAAUGCAUCCACUCACA